UGGAAGUAUAAAGUCGUAACAAGGUCUCCGUUGGUGAACCAGCGGAGGGAUCAUUACUGAGUACUACACUCUCUACCCUUUGUGAACUAUUAUACCUGUUGCUUCGGCGGCGCCCGCGAGGGUGCCCGCCGGUCUCAUCAGAAUCUCUGUUUUCGAACCCGACGAUACUUCUGAGUGUUCUUAGCGAACUGUCAAAACUUUUAACAACGGAUCUCUUGGCUCCAGCAUCGAUGAAGAACGCAGCGAAACGCGAUAUGUAAUGUGAAUUGCAGAAUUCAGUGAAUCAUCGAAUCUUUGAACGCACAUGGCGCCUUCCAGUAUCCUGGGAGGCAUGCCUGUCCGAGCGUCGUUUCAACCCUCGAGCCCCCGUGGCCCGGCGUUGGGGAUCUGCCACGGCAGGCCCCUAAAACCAGUGGCGGACCCGAAGGCCCUCUCCUUUGCGCAGUAGCAUCAGCCUCGCAUUGGGAUCCCUCGGCGUCCUGCCUGUAAACCCCCCACAAGUCCGCUCCGGCGGCACCAAGGUUGACCUCGGAUCAGGUAGGAAUCCCCCSAAAUU
rnacentral:rRNA from 1 species